rnacentral:rRNA from 1 species
GACGAACGCUGGCGGCGUGCCUAAUACAUGCAAGUAGAACGCACAGUUUAUACCGUAGCUUGCUACACCAUAGACUGUGAGUUGCGAACGGGUGAGUAACGCGUAGGUAACCUGCCUGGUAGCGGGGGAUAACUAUUGGAAACGAUAGCUAAUACCGCAUAAUAUUAAUUAUUGCAUGAUAAUUAAUUAAAAGGUGCAAUUGCACCACUACCAGAUGGACCUGCGUUGUAUUAGCUAGUAGGUGAGGUAACGGCUCACCUAGGCGACGAUACAUAGCCGACCUGAGAGGGUGAUCGGCCACACUGGGACUGAGACACGGCCCAGACUCCUACGGGAGGCAGCAGUAGGGAAUCUUCGGCAAUGGACGAAAGUCUGACCGAGCAACGCCGCGUGAGUGAAGAAGGUUUUCGGAUCGUAAAGCUCUGUUGUAAGAGAAGAACGGGUGUGAGAGUGGAAAGUUCACACUGUGACGGUAUCUUACCAGAAAGGGACGGCUAACUACGUG